CCGCCCUUAGCUCAGACUGGUAGAGCAGUCGACUGUAGAUCGACUUGUCCCCCGUUCAAAUCGGGGAGGGCGGAC
rnacentral:tRNA from 4 species